AUUGAACGCUGGCGGCAUGCCUUACACAUGCAAGUCGAACGGUAACGGGCCUUCGGGUGCCGACGAGUGUCGAACGGGGGAGUAAUACAUCGGAACGUGCCCGAUCGUGGUGGAUAACGAGGCGAAGGCUUUGCUAAUACCGCAGACGAUCUACGGAUGAAAGCAGGGGGCCGCUAGACCGUUCGCUGGCUGAUGGGCCGAUGGCCUAUUAGGUAGUUGGUUGGCGAAGAGCUUACCAAGCCAACGAUCUGUAGCUGGUCUGAGCGGAUGAUCGGCCACACUGGGAGUGGACCACGGCCCAGACUACUACGGCAGGCAGCGGUGGGGAAUGUUGGACAAUAGGCGCAAGCCUGAUCCAGCCAUGGCGAGUGCAGGAUGACGGCGUUCGGGUUGUAAACUGCUUUUGUACGGAACGAAAAGCCUUCUUUUAAUACAGGAGGAUCAUGACGGUACCGGAAGAAUAAGCACCGGCUAACUACGUG
rnacentral:rRNA from 1 species